CCACAUUCAUGAACAGGACAGAAAAAAUUAAACAGGUGAUUAGAAACACAGUCUAGAUCUCACAGAGGGCUGGAAGAAAAUCUUGCUAAUUGCAAAGGCUUUAAAAAAUAAUGAUAAUUAUUAUUAUUAUAAAUCUCAGGUCAUUCAUCACACUGCAAUGUCAUUUGAGAUUAUUCAAAAUUUGCAUUGAACCAUGAGUGAAAGAGAAAAUGAGCUUGAACAUCUGUACAAUCUGAUGUAACAAUGUUGCAAUGAAUCCUGCCUUUGUGUAGCUUAUGAUGUUAAUAUUUUAAGACGGUAUCAGAGAGCUGUUGAUUAAAUCUGCUGUCAUCUUUAGGGCUGCAACUAACAAUUAUUUUUUUAGAAUUAUUAAUCUCCCUAUUUAAGCAAUUGAUUGCAUACCCUUAAAUGUCAGACACAAAGAAAAAUGCCAAUUAAAAUUUCAUAAAAGCCUCUAGACAAACUUUGUUGUUUCAUGUAUUGGCUGACCAAUAGUCCAAAAUCUAAAGAUAUUAAGUUUACAACAGUACAUAACCGAGAAAAGCAGCAGCAGCAAACCCUCACCAUUGAGAAGCUGGAAAGGGGGAAUGACAAACAAUAACUCAGUUGACAUAAAAAUUGCACAUACAUUGCACAUACAAAAUAGCUGCAGAUUAAUACAUUUUCUAAUCAGUUAAAAGACUUAUAACUCUUCUCGUCUGUUUUUCCAAGUGACAGAAAUAACUAUGGAGCUGAAUCAACACUAAAUAAUAGUAAGUAAGUAAUAUUUUGUAGACAACUUUUUUUAAAGGCUUUAAGACUGAAUAAAUUAAGAAUGGAACAAUAGAGAAAAGUGUAUUUGUGUUUCAGUGAGACAAAAAAGUUGGUAGAGGUUGCUAGAGUGUAAAGUUCACACUAAUGUAUUGUAACGUAUGCCACAUCCAAGAGUCUUAAAACAAACAUCUCCGUAGCCACACACUGACAACAUAAAAAAUUUCAAUGAGCUCAUACUUGUAAAUUCUCAUAUUUGUAGUUUGAACAGGAAUAGCAAAUGAAUUAUCCGCGAUAACGUGCCAGUGGAAAACACUUGGCCACCUGACUAAGAAGCCAGCUAAGUUAUUGGUUACUUAUAACCCCGGUUUGUUGUUUAAACUGUUCUAAGUAGCUGAGGGGGCCUCGGUCAGUACACCGUGGGAGUGUUCAAGAGACAAAAUGCUGCCAAGUUCAUUCAACCCUUAGGCACUGGCUGAUAACAUUGGUGCUGUCCAGAGUUUUCGUUUCGGCGCUAGCUCUUGCUAGCAAACGCCGAUCAAUGCAUGAGGUGAUGAGCAUAAGCAGCUCCGUGCAACAAAGAGCUGAGAGUGUCCGAGCCGCUUCACGUUAGCGGUGGAUCCCGACAGAAGAGCGGGGCCGCACCACAAUGCACUGGGGCUAGAAUCGGGCGUCGUCUGAGGAUGCCUGACGAAAAGUUCUGCAGGUGCAGCUAUGCGUGGUGAGGCCUCCAGAGGAGUAAGAGCAGCUCUUCUAGUACUAGACACAGUUAGCGGUGCCACUUUAUAGAUUGGCCUCCUCUUGCGGGGCCUGCGACGAGGAGUGGGUCCCGGACCAAGACGAGGUUGGCAUGGUGAUCCUGUCUGUUCCUGCCUCUCCAAGGAUGCUAGGAAAAGACAGUAACACAUAAUUUUUUUCUUUCUCUCUUUCUGUCUCACUCUCUCACAGUGUUUAAAUAUUUGUGUUCACCCACUGACCUUUCUGAGACUGCAUCAGCCUCCUCAUGGCACGCAGUUCCUGCAGAACAGCCUGCAAGGUGCCCUUACAGUUACACAUACAGCAGGGGGUUUCUGGCACAGCAGGAGGUACUACAUCUGGUGGAGAGUCAGUAAUGAUGCAUCAGUCAGUGAUUGUUCUCUCAAACAUGCAUAAUCACUCGGACACAAUGUGCUUUAAUGCACAGUGUGUCCGUGUGUAUACUAUGUAUGUGUGCACACAUUUUAUGUGUGUGUGAAUUUUAUGUAUGUGUGCAUAAAUGUUUGACCUGUCUGCCUUACACACAAAUACCUCAUUAACAAAACACUUGUCUGGUGUUCAGUAGUGUGUUGAUCUCCUAUCUACUUUUUGAAUAUAUUUUUUCAUGUUCUCUUCACACACGCUCGGGUACUCUACCGUUAGCUUGAUUCCCGUUGAUUAAAUCCUUUGCGUUGUUGAGUAUCCUCAGAGCUUUGGAGCGGGUGCUGUACUGGCCGCAGCCCGGACCGUUGGGGAUGGGGGUGGAUGUGGACGACGGCGAGGGCCCUGGGUCCCCCACAGAGCUCCAGCUGUUGCUCUGGUGGUCGUCCGAUACAAGAGACAAAGGUGCAGGCUGAUGCACCCAGGAGCCUCAUCAUUCCUGUGAUUUGCCUCUUGAUCUCCAUGCCCUCAUCCCCAGCCAAACUACAUUGAGAGAGAAGGGUAUUAGUGGAAUCAGCAAGAUCUGCUAUGUUAAAUCAGAAAUGAAUCCUUACUGUGG